rfam:Oxytricha trifallax strain JRB310 Contig19045.0 macronuclear, whole genome shotgun sequence.
UCAGGAGGAUUUAUUCUCUGUAACAUCGUGGGUUCGGUUCUGCGUGUGCUUGUAGGACUAAGAGUGAACCUGUUAUGACGCUGUGCUUUGGCUUGUCCAUUUCAAAUUAGGUGUCAACAAUGUGGGCUUAGAGUAGUCUUCGCUUUCAUGGUUGUCAAAGAAGUCGGGAAUGCCUCAGGCUGGCAACAGAGCAGGGAAAACGACUCGCACUUAAUAGUGAAAGGAUAGCAAGCCUUUAUAGCGUCGAAGGUUAUCGCUUGGCUCCUAACUGGUAUUCGCAUGGCUGUG